rnacentral:tRNA from 1 species
GGAUGUGGUUCAGUGGUAGAGUACUUUCUUGGCAUGCAUGUGGCCCUGGGUUAAAUUCCCAGCACCA